rnacentral:rRNA from 1 species
UACGAAGGGGGCUAGCGUUGCUCGGAAUCACUGGGCGUAAAGCGCACGUAGGCGGCUUUUUAAGUCAGGGGUGAAAUCCUGGAGCUCAACUCCAGAACUGCCUUUGAUACUGAGAAGCUUGAGUCCGGAAGAGGUGAGUGGAACUCCGAGUGUAGAGGUGAAAUUCGUAGAUAUUCGGAAAGAACACCAGUGGCGAAGGCGGCUCACUGGUCCGGUACUGACGCUGAGGUGCGAAAGCGUGGGGAGCAAACAGG